AUGACAAAAUUUACCUGUUUUUUUCCUCCUGAGCAGUACAAAGCAGCCCAGUAUUUCAUUUCAUUGCUUGCAGUGACUAACACUGAGAGUAUAUGUCACAAAUCCCGCCUCAGACUACAGAAGAGGCCCGCUGAUCGCUUUUUCAGCAUGCCACAUCAUCUGCUGGAGAAGAAUUUGAAUGGCAGCAUGUACGCCCAUCAGCUUCAGGAGGGAAAAUGCGCUGUGCACAGAAUGGAUUUCCUAGAUGCUCACUGGGUUUACAGGUUCGCUUUAAAGAAGGAGAGACAUUCAAGUCACCUACUACCAUAGAAGAAACGAUCACUGUACAAAUGGAUUUCUUUU
rnacentral:lncRNA from 1 species